UCUCGGCUUAUCACCGGCAGUCCCCCUAGAGUGCCCAACUGAAUGAUGGCAACUAAGGGCGAGGGUUGCGCUCGUUGCGGGACUUAACCCAACAUCUCACGACACGAGCUGACGACAGCCAUGCAGCACCUGUGUGCAGGUCCCCGAAGGGAAAGAAUCCAUCUCUGGAACCCGCGACCGGGAUGUCAAACGCUGGUAAGGUUCUGCGCGUUGCUUCGAAUUAAACCACAUGUUCCACCGCAUGUGCGGGUCCCCGUCAAUUCCGUUGAGUUUUAAUCUUGCGACCGUACUUCCCAGGCGGAGUGCUUAACGCGUUAGCUGCGACACCAAAAUCUAGUUCUGAUAUCUAGCACUCAUCGUUUAGGGCGUGGACUAC
rnacentral:misc_RNA from 1 species